AUGCCCCCGAAGGCAUCCAAGCGGUGGGUGCCGGUUAACCGGCCGGCCGUGGAGUCUCCUGCUGCGGGUAACCCGUCCAACGGAGUGCCCCCGAAGGUAUCCAAGCGAUGGGUGCCGGUUAACCGGCCGGCCGUGGCGUCUCCUGCUGCAGGCAACCCGUCCGACGGAAUGCCGCCGAAGGUAGUGCUGGUGAACCGACCCACGGGGAGGGGAACGGGGACGUCUCACGGGGCAGGCAAACCAUCGAACGUAAUCCCCUGGAAGGCAUCCAAGCGAUGGGUGCCGGUUAACCGGCCGGCCGUGCCGUCUCACGGGGCAGGCAAACCAUCGAACGUAAUCCCCUGGAAGGCAUCCAAGCGAUGGGUGCCGGUUAACCGGCCGGCCGUGCCGUCUCCUGUUGCAGGUAACCCGUCCGACGGAAUGCCCCCGAAGGUAGUGCCGGUGAACCGACCCAUUGGGACGGGGAAGUCUCGCAGGGCAGGCAAACCAUCGAACGAAAUCCCCCGGAAGCUAUCCAAGCAAUGGGUACCGGUUAACCGACCGCCGACUGCGGAGACAUCUCGCGGGGCAGGCGAACCCGCCGACAGGCUCAGCGACCUCCCAGACGCGCUGCUGCACCACAUCAUGUCGUUCCUGAAGGCAUGGGAGAUGGUCCGCACGUGUAGGCUCUCGCGAAGGUGGCGCAACCUCUGGGUCUCUGCGCCUUGCAUCGACGUCCGUGUGGGACUCCAUGAUAACCCACCUGAGGAAUUCGCCAGGUUUGUUAACCGGUUGCUGCGCAGCCGGGACGCGCUCACGCCACUGGACACGCUCCGUGUGCGCUCGGUUGGUGAGGAUGAUUUCUAUGAGACUUAUAACGAUGGCAAUGUCAAGAGCUGGAUUCGUACUGCUAUCAAGCGAAAAGCUUGUGCUAUUCAGCUUAACGGGCAUCUCCACAAGUACAUAGCACUGGACCGCAUAGACUUUGCCUCUUGCCAUCUCAAAAUCUUGAAACUGUCAUAUGUCGAGCUAGAUGAUAAAGUUGUGAAGCAGCUCUCUUCUCAGUGCCCUUUGGAAGAACUAGAGCUCAAGAGCUGUGUGGUAGGUGCCCAUGAGAUUUUGUCCUUCACUCUGAAGAGUUUGACCAUGGUCAAGUGCAAGCUUACUAUGAACCUCUCGGUGGAUGCUCCAAACCUCAUGUUCUUUCGUUGCAUCAAACCGGAGAAGUGGGUUCCUGUAUUCAAGAACUCUGUGUCUCUUAUCAGAGGUAGUAUCAUGCUUGAUGACUCUUUAUUGAGUCGUGAGUUUCAAAAGUACCAUGAGGAUGAGGAUGAAUUCCCUCAGACUAGUGAUGAAGAUGACGACAUGAAUAAUAAAAAUGGCCAGUACAAUGGUAAAAGUGCUGCUGCUGCUGAAAGUGGUGCUGAGGGCUUUCUGGAUAGUAUCUUGUUUGGCAGCUUUUCUGAUUACCGUGAUGGCUAUUCUGAUGAUUUUUAUGAUGGUUAUUCCGAUGACAUCAAAGAUGAUUAUGAUUAUGGAAGUGAUAUCAAUAGCGACGACGAUACAUACGAAUAUAGUGAAAUUGCAAAUGGCUCUGAAGAUAAAUACUUUGGAAAUGACUUUGAAUUCAGUAAGGGUGGUAAAAUGUCUGGCUGCAGUGGAAACUAUGGGUUUAACGACUAUAAAACCUUAGGUGGCCAACAUAUUCUUUGGAGCCUUUUAAAUGCCAGAAGCAUAGAGCUGCUAGGUCAUUCAGGAGAGGUGGUUCUGAGAAGGGAAUCAUUAAGUUGUCCAACUUUUAACAACCUGAAGACUUUGUCCCUUGGUGAAUGGUGCAUCAGUAGGGGUGCUAAUUUUGACAUACUAGUUCGCUUACUUCAUCAUACACCUUACUUGGAGAAUCUCUUUCUUCAACUUGAAAUGAACUUUGACAUCCAGAAUGCACUGGGAAGAUGUAAACCGAACGGAGGAUCAUUUUCUUGCAAACACCUUAGCAUGGUGAAGAUCAAAUGCACCAAGGAUGAUCCUAGAGUCCAUAUGCUGGCACAGUUGUUUAAGGCUAAUGACAUACCGCUUGAGAAGAUUUGUGUACAUCGGAGUGGGAGCUUCAAUCUUCGUAUGCUAAAGCUAAACAGGGAAAUUAACAUUGCCGAAAUGCGUGCCUGUCGGUAG
rnacentral:rRNA from 1 species